AGAGUUUGAUCCUGGCUCAGAACGAACGCUGGCGGCAGGCUUAACACAUGCAAGUCGAGCGGGUGCAGCAAUGCAUCAGCGGCAGACGGGUGAGUAACGCGUGGGAACAUACCCUUCGGUUCGGAAUAACUUGAGGAAACUCGGGCUAAUACCGGAUACGUCCAGGAGCAAUCCUGGGGAAAGAUUUAUCGCCGAAGGAU
rnacentral:rRNA from 1 species